rnacentral:rRNA from 1 species
AAACUUUCAACAAUGGAUCUCUUGGUCUCGCAUCGAUGAAGAACGCAGCGAAAUGCGAUAAGUAAUAUGAAUUGCAGAAUUCCGUGAAUCAUCAAAUCUUUGAACGCAAAUUGCACUUCUUGGUAUUCCGAGGAGUACACAUGCUUGAGGGUCAGU